rnacentral:rRNA from 1 species
AUUGAACGCUGGCGGCAGGCCUAACACAUGCAAGUCGAGCGAGCGGAGGAAGGGUGAGUAAUGUCUGGGAAACUGCCUGAUGGAGGGGGAUACAUACUGGAAACGGUAGCUCAUACCGCAUACCAUCAGAGGUGCCCAGAUGGGAUUAGCUAGUCGGUGGGGUAAAUGCUCACCUAGGAGACGAUCCCUAGCUGGUAUGAGAGGAUGACCAGCCACACUGGAACUGAGACACGGUCCAGACUCCUACGGGAGGCAGCAGUGGGGAAUAUUGCACAAUGGGCGCAAGCCUGAUGCAGCCAUGCCGCGUGUAUGAAGAAGGCCUUCGGGUUGUAAAGUACUUUCAUCGUGGAGGCGUUACCCGCAGAAGAAGCACCGGCUAACUCCGUGCCAGCAGCCGCGGUAAUAC